UUACGCCCAUAUCACGUUGAAGCACCAGUACCCAUACGAUCACUGAAGUUAAGCAACGUAGAGUCUGGUCUGUAUUUAGAUCGGUGACCGCUUGAAAAUGCCAGGUGCAGUAAG